AUGGAGAAUGUGCAAAGGAAAAGAGAGGGGUACAGCGCGCAGAAGCUAGGCCAGCCUGCAUUGAUGUUAGUACGCGAUCACUCACUGGCACACAUGCGCGGAACAGUUCCCGGACGGCCUUCUUCCCCAACCGGCCAAUCUCUUGCUCUGACAUACCCCCCUCCUCCAUUUGACCAUUCCCUACAUGCCACGGGCCGCACAGCUGCAGCAACCUUUCUCAGACAGAGACCAGAGAGAGAGCGUGUGUGUGAGAGAGAGAGAUAG
rnacentral:rRNA from 1 species